rnacentral:rRNA from 1 species
AUGGCCCACAUAUCAGAUAUUAAACUGAUAAGAACAGAUACUACACUUGAUCUUAGCCAAAAGGCCGAGAAAGGUAUGAGUUGCAGCGUUGCUCUGCCCCUCUAUUUGUAG